GGAGGAGGCGGGCGGGCCCCUCGGGCGACACCGCGGGGCGGGCGGCGGGAAGCCCGGACUCAGCGGUUUCCUGGGCAACCGGCCUCCUCCGGCGCGGCCCGCGCGGCUCCAGGUGGCGGGAGGCGGCGGUUGGCGGGAAGGGCCGCGCGGGCCCGGGGGCGGCGCCUCAGAUGCGCUCUUUCCAGAAAGGCAGCACACGCAUGUCUCUGCCGUGGCCCCAGAUCCUCCCCGCGCCGCCGUUUUGAGCGUUCACACUCAUUACCCAGGUCCGUCUGGGAGACCCGCCGGGCUCCCGCCCUCCCGGCCCGCAGCCUCCUGGCCAAAAUCCUCCCGGGACACCCCACCUGGACUGCUGCGAACGGGCCUCCACCCGCCUCCCCGGACCCGCAGCGCCCCCCGCUCCCUCAGGGUUCUGGGGUGAAGGGGUCUGAAUAGCACCAGGGGAGGCGGCAGGGCGGGCCUGUCCUACCUGCGCCCGAGCACUGCUGAGACGACAUCCCUUCCAGCGCCGCCACGUAGUCCAGCCCCAGCCAGCCGCGAUAUCUCCCCACAAACCUAAACAAUUUCGAGAGGGACUUGUGUUCUGCAACCAGUCACAGAAUAUCAGGUGAGCUGGGCGUGUCUUCACUGACCCACCCGCCCAGGGAUGCUGCACUCCUCUCCACCCUGCUCAGAAUCACUAGAAUGACCGUUCUGUGGCUACAGCCCUAAAAGAGCUACUAAAAAGACCAGAAGUAGUAUGAGAACUUAUGAAUACGAAUAUAAAUAAAGGACAUCUGGAG
rnacentral:lncRNA from 1 species